rnacentral:rRNA from 1 species
GACGAAGGGGGCUAGCGUUGUUCGGAAUUACUGGGCGUAAAGCGCGUGUAGGCGGCUGCCAAAGUCGGGUGUGAAAGCCUUGAGCUCAACUCAAGAAUGGCACUCGAUACUUGGUGGCUAGAGGACCGGAGAGGAUAGUGGAAUUCCCAGUGUAGUGGUGAAAUACGUAGAGAUUGGGAAGAACACCAGUGGCGAAGGCGGCUAUCUGGACGGUUUCUGACGCUAAGACGCGAAAGCGUGGGGAGCAAACAGG